rnacentral:rRNA from 1 species
CUACCCUUGACAUGUACGGAAUCCCCCAGAGAUGGGGGAGUGCCCGAAAGGGAGCCGUAACACAGGUGCUGCAUGGCUGUCGUCAGCUCGUGUCGUGAGAUGUUGGGUUAAGUCCCGCAACGAGCGCAACCCUUAUCCUUAGUCGCCAUGCCGAAAGGCGGCACUCUAAAGAGACUGUCGGCCACAAGCCGGAGGAAGGUGGGGAUGACGUCAAGUCCUCAUGGCCUUUAUGUCCAGGGCUACACACGUGCUACAAUGGGCGGUACAAAGCGUCGCAAACCCGCGAGGGGGAGCCAAUCGCAAAAAGCCGCUCUCAGUUCGGAUUGCAGUCUGCAACUCGACUGCAUGAAGCUGGAAUCGCUAGUAAUCGCGGAUCAGAACGCUGCGGUGAAUACGUUCCC